GACGAACGCUGGCGGCGUGCUUAACACAUGCAAGUCGAACGGAGUGGCGAACGGGUGAGUAACACGUCGGUGAUCUGCCUUGCACUUCGGGAUAAGCUUGGGAAACUGGGUCUAAUACCGGAUAGUGCAAGAUGAGCUCGCGGCCUAGCAGCUUGGUGGUGGGGUAAUGGCCUACCAAGGCGUCGACGGGUAUACGGCCUGGGAGGGUGUACGGGCACAAUGGGACUGAGAUACGGCCCAGACUCCUACAGGGGGCAGCAGUGGGGAAUCUUGCACAAUGGGCGGAAGCCUGAUGCAGCGACGCCGGGUGGGGGAUGAAGGCCUUCGGGUUGUAAACUCCUUUCGACAGGGACGCGGUACCUGUAUAAGAAGCACCGGCUAACUACGUGCCAGCAGCCGCGGUAAUUC
rnacentral:rRNA from 1 species